ACGAAUCUAAAAUAGCAUGCAUGUCUAAGUAUAAGCGACUAUACUGUGAAACUGCGAAUGGCUCAUUAAAUCAGUUAUGGUUUAUUUGAUGGUACCUUACUACUUGGAUACCCGUAGUAAUUCUAGAGCUAAUACAUGCAGGAAUUCCCGACUUUCGGAGGGAUGUAUUUAUUAGAUAAGAAACCAAUCCGCUUCGGCGGUUGUGUGCCGAGUCAUAAUAACUGUUCGAAUCGCAUGGCUUUACGCCGGCGAUGGUUCAUUCAAAUUUCUGCCCUAUCAGCUUUCGAUGGUAGGAUAGAGGCCUACCAUGGCGUUUACGGGUAACGGAGAAUUAGGGUUCGAUUCCGGAGAGGGAGCCUGAGAAAUGGCUACCACAUCCAAGGAAGGCAGCAGGCGCGUAAAUUGCCCGAAUCCUGACACAGGGAGGUAGUGACAAGAAAUAACAAUACAGGGCCAUCUUGGUCUUGUAAUUGGAAUGAGUACAAUUUACAUCUCUUCACGAGGAUCAAUUGGAGGGCAAGUCUGGUGCCAGCAGCCGCGGUAAUUCCAGCUCCAAUAGCGUAUAUUAAAGUUGUUGCAGUUAAAACGCUCGUAGUCGGAUUUCGGGGCGGGCCUGCCGGUCUGCCGAUCGGUACGCACUGGCGGGCGCGUCCUUCCUUCCGGAGACCGCGCCUCCUCUUAACUGAGCGGGCGUGGGAGACGGAUCGUUUACUUUGAAAAAAUCAGAGUGUUUCAAGCAGGCAGCUCGCUCUUGCAUGGAUUAGCAUGGGAUAAUGAAAUAGGACUCUGGUGCUAUUUUGUUGGGUUUCGAACACCGGGAGUAAUGGUCAACAGGACAGUCAGGGCACUCGUAUUCCGCCGAGAGAGGUGAAUUCUCAGACCAGCGGAAGACGAACACUGCGAAGGCAAUUGCCAGGCAUGUUUCACUGAUCAGAUCGAAGUUAG
rnacentral:rRNA from 1 species